rnacentral:lncRNA from 1 species
CACCUAAAAACACAAUUUAGGGAAAAAAAAAGUGUAAAAAAUGGGGCAAGAAACUUUGAUGGCAUAGUCAAAAUUGUUUUACAGGAUUUUGCUAUUAUGUGCAAAAAUAAUGUCACCUAAAUAGGAUCUUCGAGCUAUAAAACAAUCAAAUACACAGACAGUGUAGAUUAUUCGUAAUCCUAAUUUCCUAUAGUGUUGCUUCAAAUUAAAUCGUCCCCUUCUAAGUCUUCAUCUUAUUUCCAAACCCUACUCUAUCACCUUCCAGCUUGCCCAUCACACCAUAUAAGCAGUCAUCUUGCAAUUAUAACAAUUACUAUGUCCUAAGAGUUCAUAUAAUAUUGUUAAACCCUUUUAUUUAUUUUAAGCUCUGGGGAUCAGAGGUUUUUCCUUGUCGAAACCAGGUUGAUUGGUCUUUCCUUUGAAUCUUCUCAUCUGUAUAAGCAACUAGGAUCUAUGUUUGAAUCUACAUAGGUAUUUGUGUGUGUCUGGUUCUAUGAAUCUUCUCAUUCUGUUAAUUAAAUUACACAAAGCGAGACUAGUGUUUGGAUUUAAAUCACCAUUAUAUAUGGAUUUGCGUGUGUUUGGAUGAUUGGAUCCAUGUGAUAAACCCAUUGAAUAUAAUUAAACUAUGCAUGUAAGGAAGCAUAUCAAUGAAUAAUACAGAAUGAAGAACAAAGAAGAAUGCAUAGAGAAUAUCCACGUAUCAACAGUUUGUAAUGAUAUGUGAUCAAAUAUGUUUGAUCAAAUGUCAAACAUUCUCCAUUAUUGCUAUCUUCAUGUUAGAGGGUUUCUAUAAUUCUAGCUAUUUCCAAAAGUUGUACUGCCGGUUCAGCUUUCUCCACAUAUGUCAAAUGUUACAUCACAUAGAAUGGCUCACAUCCAAAGAACCAAGUUAAGCAAAGUUUCACAAAAGAUAUGCCAAACUGACCCAUGCAAAAAUCAAGUAGUCUUCUCUCAGAUAACUUAACUCAAUGCAAAAAAUCAUGUUUCAAUCAUAAGUUACAUUAAUCAUUCGGCAGCAUUCCAACCAUUUCACUAAAUAACUCAUCCAAAUGUUCUUUCCAAUAAAUAAACAAAGCAUCACACAAAUAUCCAACCCACUUAAAUUCGAGUUUAAGAAUAAAACCUUCAUCCAAAGUCACUUGAAUAACAGCAAGAAUGACUUACAAGGCAGUGAUCUCCUCAGAGAGAAGCUCAUUAUCAUCAACAGUACUAGAAGAAUGAUCUUUGCUCUGUGCUCUUCCUUUACUCCUCCUCCCACUCCCUCCUCCUUUCUUCUUCUUCCCCAUUAAAAAAUGAAUUGAAGCGGCAACAGCUCCUCCUCUGGCUCUUUCUCGAAUGCACUCGUUAAACCCAAUUCACAAAUAAAUGCAGAAACAGAUGAAACUUGACAAACCCAAGAACCCCUUCUGUUAUUUCCCUCCAAAAAUGAAACAGCUUACUCAACGCCGAUGAUUCACUUUCACAUCUCAAUGACGCUGUAGAAAUUUCAAGGAUCUUGAAACUUGAUAGCAAAAAAGCGAGAGCGUUAUGUCAAUAUUGAUUGGAUUGAUAGUGGAAAACUGGAAAUAAUAAAUGAGAAGAAUAUUUAAAGUUCGCGUUUAAAAUUUCGCUUGGAAAAAAAGAACUUGUCAAGUUGAAGCUGGUGGCGCACUGUCAAAUUGGAAAAUAAAAUUAUUAAUAUUACGUCAAAAAUUAUUUUAAUUUUAAUUUUUGUACGAUAGAAUGAAUAAAUAAAGUAAUAAACCAUGUAUAAAAAUAAAAUAAAUUUACUACAAAAAUUUUGUUCCUCUUUAAAUAAUAUUAUGCUUACUUAAUUUGAACAUUUAGGUAAAUUAUGCUUAUAACACCAAUCAUUUAAUACUAUCAGUAUGAUAUUAAUUAAUUUUAUUAUUAAUUUUGUUGAUUUACUUGGGACUCAAGCUUCAGCUCAUAGACUCCUUUCUUUAUUAUUUUCAUUUUUGUUUUAAUUAUGACAUACAACUUUGUAUGAGUGUCCAAAUUUAAUAGAAAUAUAUAUAUAUGCUGUUGCUCUACUUUAUUCUAUGAAAAAAAUAGAAUUUCAUUGGAUUGAAUUAUUUAAUAUGUAUUGUGUACUACAUGAUACAACUUGAUUCAUUGACAUAGCUUAUAAGAAAAUUCAAACAUCCUAAUAUUAAUUAUUAGUUAUUUAAAAUUAUUUUUCAAGAUAGAAAAAGUUAGUAAUUAAAGAUUGUAUCUCACUUUUAUGUAUGACAUGUCGGUUAUUAAUUUAUCACAUAGAUACAUGUCGUCAUAGAAUAUGGAAUUUUUAUGACAAUUCGUUUAUAUAAUCAGAAUUGAUAUGAAAUAUCGGAGGUAAAAGUCCAUGACUGAUCGUUUUUAUGUUCAUCUUGUAAAUGAAUUAUCAUACACUUUAUGAAGUCUGUACGGCGUUACAUUCAUGAGUAUUGCUUAUUUAAUGGUUGAAAGUACCCUCAUUCCCAACUCUCGUCGGACGGCAAAAGCAAAAUCCCUAACCGCUCCCAGUCUCCCGCGCCAUCGCACCUCGUUGUUCUCACGCCACAGCGGCCGCUGCUCGCACCCUGGCACCUUUUGCUGGUAUCAAGCUCAUAUAUAUGUGUAUAUAUAUAUCGAAUAAUUUUGGUAUUUUUAAUGGUGAUUACUGAUUUUGUGUUUAUUAAGGAAAAUGUUAUUCAAAGCUACUGAAUUUGAUGUUUAAUAGAGAUUAUUAUGCUGAAAAAUCGUAAGACAUAUUACGAAAUAAUUUCUGAUUAAUUGCUGUUCAGAGUUUAGUAUGUGGGCAGAAUUUUUAACCUUGAACUUAUUGUCUACUGAUUUUCAUACAAAAAAAUAAAUAAAUAAAUAAAAAUUAUGAUUCUGAAAAUGAGAUUACACGAAAAGGGUAAUGAAAACUUGUUCAUUUGUGACUGAUUGAUUCUGUUAUUGUUAGUUGAUUGUAGUUGACAAUUGGAGUUCCUUGUACUGGAGUAAACGUGAAACAACCAAUUUAGAUAAAAAUCUCUAUUAGCUAGUGGCAUUGCCACUUCUUUGCUAAAUCUGCUGGUGUUAGUAUCUAUACAUACCACUGUAGGUUCAUGUUUGGUUUCAAUAUGGGUCUAUGUUUUAGUUGUUGAUUGGUGGUGGGGAAACAUAGUAAAACCAAUGCCAGAAUGUUUGGCAUCAUUCAAAGGAGCCUAUGCUUCUAACUCAAUACAACAUUGCAAAUUUUGAAGGUUUUGUAUUUGAACACUUGCUAAACCAUUUAGUUUUCUGUAUACUGUAUUGUGAGUUAUUGUUUGGGACUUUGAUGUGGUGGAUGGAUAUCUUUGGUUUCUACUGAUGGAUGUAUUCAACUUUCUCCGCGGGUUGAAAUUUUAAAAACUAGUGACUUAGGAGGCUCUUGUUUUUGGGUUUUUUUUUUUUUCAGAUUUGUAUUCUUCUCCUUCAUGGGGUCUACAACUGAGGCGGAGUAUGCUGCAUUUCUUGAGAAGGUGAAGCGGACAGUUUAUCUCGACAACCUCUCGCCUCAAGUUACAGAACCUGUCAUUAGAACCGCACUCGAUCAGUUUGGGAAUGUCAAAAACGUUCAAUUUAUCCCAAACUACACGGAGUUCAGGAAUAUCCCGCACUGUGCUUUGGUGGAGAUGGAGAACUCAAAGCAAGCCAAGGAUGUGGUCACGUCUUUGCACGAGUUUCCAUUCAUGAUGUCAGGAAUGCCAAGGCCUGUGAGGGCACGGGCUGCUGAAGUGGAGAUGUUUGAUGAUCGCCCAGCAAAACCUGGUCAAAGAAUACAAUUCCGAUGGUUGGAUCCCAAUGAUCCUGAUUUUGAGGUAGCACAAAGGUUGAAGCGCCUUGCUCGGAAACAUGCUGCUGAAGCUUCGUUUGUGCUCAAGGUAAGUCUCGUGUUCUUACAAUAACUACUGCAAUCGCUUUUAGUUAUUCAUCGUGCAUUUUUCUUUAUCGAACCUGUCUCCGAAAUUCUGGACCUGCCUUUUUCUCAUCUAAGUGGCAAUAUCCAUUUCGUGUAGGAACAACUGGAGCAGGAAGAGCAGCUCGCAAAUCAGCAAGAAGAAACCCUUAAACAAAAUUACAGGAAGUAUGAGACACUAGAGGGCAUUAUGUCUGAUGGAACUGCAUAUCGUUUGGGACGCCGCUAUGAUGUGAGAAUCCAUGAUGAUUGAUAAUUUGUGUGAAUCAUUUGGUUGGGCUUCUAAUGAACAUCUCUGUAAACUUCAAUGGACUUCAAUGCUGGAUAUACAAAUGACUCUAAUGUUUUGCCAAAAAGAAAAAUGAAAAAAAAAAUUUUGAUAUCCAUUUGUGGAUAAGUUAUACUCAAAUAUGAACGAUGAACCUAUUUGUUUAUUCCAUAUUAACGUUCAAUUUCAUAUGCCUUAUAUAAACAUUAAGUAUUAGCGUAUAUCACCAAUGGGCCUUUGGUCCAAUGGGAGAAGCCUUGCACUUACAUUGUUGAGUGCAAGGGUUCGAGCCUCCAUAAGAGCAUUAUGGAGGUUAGUUACAGUUUUUCCUCAAUUAUCAAUUAAUUGAGUGGAGACAGUUUUUCCCUCACGAAAUGUGAGUGAAGUAGGCACCCCUCGAAUAUUAAAAAGGGUUUAAAAUAUCUGGGCAUAUACUUCAGUGUGUCAAUGUAUGGUGGUGGUCCCAGUUAUAUAAUAUGAUUGUAAAUAUUAAUAGGCACCCCUCGAAUAUUAGAAAGGAUUUAAAAUAUCUAGACAUAUACUUCAGUGUGUCAAUGUAUGGUGGUGGUCCCAAUUAUAUAAUAUGAUUGUAAAUAUUAAUUGUAAUGUCUGAUGUAAUGUCAGUAAUAUCUCUGCAUAACAGACUUCAAAAAAAAAAAAAAGUAUUAGCGUAUAUCUUAAAAUUCAUACUAAGAGGUUCAUCAUCACAAAUAAUGUCACAUAUCAUGUACCAUGUGUAUUGAAAAUGAUAAUAAUAUAAUAAGUUAUUUUAAAAAUUGUGAAAAAUCAUUGAUCACUUGAUGAGCAUACCAUCUUAUUUGAGAAGAACAUCUUAGUAUAUCUAACAUUUUGAUAAAAGUUUUUCGUUGUUGAUUAUAUGCCUAAAAUUAUUUCCAAAAUAAAAUAUUAAAAAUCAUAAUGAACCAUUAACAUUUUUCAAUCAUAUUUAUUGCAUCGACACUUUGUUUUUUAAUUUUCAAUGCUCCCAUCUUCCACCCCCGAAAAUAAUUACAAAAAAAAUAACAAAAUAACAACUUACAAAUAUUUUAAAGAAGCCCGGCUUGUUAGUGUGACGGUAUCCUUAUAACAUACCAUAUUUGUUUUGAGAUAAAUGUCUUUUACUCCCAGAAGAUUAAAUCGGUUAAUUAUACAAUUAGUUACAGUGUUCUUUAAAAAUUACCUAAAAUUACAUGUCGUUUAUCUCCACAUUUGAUAGUUUACAUAUUGAAGUCUUAAAAUUUAAUUAUGCUUUAUUUUUCAUUUAUUACAUGUCAAAUUUAUUUGAAUUAUAGAUCAUGUCAAACAAAAUUUUUAUCCAAUCCUUGGAAAGUUCAAUCAAUGUCUUAACAACUACAAAAGUAAUGAGCUCUAUGUGAGUUCAAAUCUUAAAGGAAGUAUGAACGUUAAAAAUUAUUUGGAUUUAAUCCACACUUUAACGUUUAAUAUAAAAAUAAUUUGGAUAAUUUUUAAAAAUAUAAAAAUUAACUACAGCAAGACCUCGAUGAGUUAAUAGCUCUGGAACAAUAUACAUAAGUUGAACGAAUACUAAGUAAUCGAAUAAUAAUUUAACACGUUUGGCCUCAAUUUAAGAUUGAAAGAACAUUACAUACAGUUGAGAUUUAAAUUUAUCGAGUAUCAAUUUAGUAAUAUUUUACUGGAAAAUCAUUCACCUAUUAUUUUCUUAUUUCGUUCCUUCAUAUAUUCAAUAGUGGACAAAGAAAGAUAGAGAGAGAGAGAGAGGGGGGAUCUUGCCUCACCCACAUCGAGCCAAUCAAAAUGCUUGCUUGUAUUUCUCUUGAUGAGCCUACUCGAUUCCCCUCCUGACCCCCAUCCACAAAUACACGCACUCAUUAACCCAGACACUGACAUUACACAACGAAUAACACAUAUCCCCACUCUCUUUCGCCUUCAAGUACUUCAUUUCUUCCAAAAAUUUAAAAAAGAAAAAAACAAAGAAGUAAUAACGAUAACAAACAAUAAUGGCCACAAACUCUCUCCAAUCCCUCCACCACCAUUCCUUCCUCCGGCGCCACCACCCCGACGCCGCUCCGGCAGCCGCUCUCAAGCCCACCAACCCAAAUUCCCUUUCUUUCUCACUGUCUAAUAACAACAAUACUACUACUACUACAACAACUAGUGCAAAUACUAUGAUCACAUUCUCAUCACUUUCCCCAUCUACCACUUCUUCUUCUUCGUCUUCAUCACAAACACCUACUACUACUACUACUACUACUACUACUACAACAACAACAACUUCAGAGCCCAUCUCCUUUGACCUUCUUCACCAACACUUACAAGCCCAAAACUUCCGGCAAGCCGAUGAAGAAACCCGCCGCCUGCUCAUUGCCCUCGCCGGGGAAGCGGCGGAGAAACGCGGGUACGUCUUCUUCUCUGAAGUUCAGUUCAUUGCAGAGGCCGACUUGAAAGCCAUCGACGAGCUCUGGAGACAGUACAGUGACAACAAGUUUGGGUACAGCGUUCAGAAGAAGAUUUGGGAGAAAGUUAAUAAAGAUUUUACAAAAUUUUUCAUCAGAGUUGGGUGGAUGAAGAAGCUGGAUACUGAAAUGGAGCAGUACAAUUACAGGGCUUUUCCUACUGAGUUUAUUUGGGAGAACGGGAAGGAAACUCCCGUGGGGCAUUUGCCAUUAACCAAUGCUUUGAGAGGGACGCAGUUGCUUGCUAGUAUCUUGAAUCAUCCAGCUUUUGAAGGCAUGCAAGAUGAUGAUGAUGAUAAUAAUAAGCAAGAAGAAGAAGUAAGUAAAUUUGGUGGUGGUGAUGAUAAUGGAGUUCUGAAGACAAAGCCAUUGAGCAAGAGUGUGUUGAAGACAGAUUACAGCUUUUAGAGUUUGUGAAUUCUACCUUUUUUAGCACAUACCCACAAGACAUGGUUAAAAAAUGGGAAUUGGGUUUUCUUUUAAUUUUUUAAAUUAUUUUGUAAUUGUAGUGGGAAGUAAUUAUGAGAGUGAUCAAUUGAAUAUUGAUGGUUUUUAAUCUUUCUUGUAUCUACUUUUCUCAACCUUUUAUGUAAUGUUGAGAAUAAACAAAUAUAUCGCAUGUUGUUACUUUUGAGGAUCGGAAUGAAUGGUGACAAAGCAAGACUGGUCUACUUUUUUUUUUUUUUUGGGUUUAAUUGGUCAUUUUUGUGACCCUUGAUAUACAUUCUCCUUUGCGAACAAGAUUCACUCACCUAUUAAUAUGAAACCAAAAAAAAAUCUAAGAUAUAAUUAUUAUGCCCUUUCAUAAUCACAAGAAUUCUAAAGUUAUUAUCAAGAUUUAAGAUUUUCUUCCGUCUGUUUCUGUUGGCAAAUACCUCUCAACUUUGUUGUUAUUUGUCUCUAGUCGGCUAUCUUCGUAAAAUUUUGGGCCGACUGUUGUUUUUUUUUAUUUGAAUAUUAGUAGAAUGCAGCAAGCACUUAUUUAUUUUUUAUUAGUACUUCGAGAGAGCUUAAAACAGCAUUAAUGAUUAAUAUACCAAACAACCCUUUAAUAUUCCAAUGGGUUCGGUGCUCCCCAGGGCAUUACUGAACAACAAUAUCAUAGUUUUAAAACUCUCUUCUUUCAUUUCUCAAAUUCUUCAAUAAGUUUCUUCGGUUACAAGUUAUAUUUUUUAAGUUGCUCAACAAUUAAAAUGAUAAUGCAUUGAGCGGACAUUUUAAUAAAGGGUGAUAAUACAGUCACAAAUUCUUAUACAAACUUAUUUUGUAUAAACUGAUGUAGUAUUAAUACAUUGGUUAAAUGAAUAUAUAAAAUAAUAUAAAUAAAUCGCGUGGACCAAUAGAUAUUUAAUUCAACUAAUAAAUUAAUAUCACAUUAAUUUAUACAAAAUAAACUUUAUUGACUAUCAUAGCAAAAAUACUUAGAAUUUUAUAACGGCGCCACCACUAUAAAUUAACUUGGGGAUAACAAUGUCACGAGUCCGGGGUGGAUACUGGAUCCCCCGCUCCGGGACCCCUACUCCAGAUCCAGAUUAUCUUAACUUCAUUACAUGGGCCGAUCCAUUUUUUUCCCACAUCAGGAUCCAUAAACAGAAAAACAAAUAAAUAAAAAUCGGACUAGACCUGCAACAAGUUCACUGAUUUUUAAUAAGAUUAUAAUAAAUGAGAAAAUAAAAGUAAAUGGAUCCGAGAGGCUUGGUGUUAAGUCUGCAGUAAUCACACAAAAUUUUUAUACAAAUAACAUUGCAAAAACUAUGGCCAAAAAGGUUAAUAUGAAUAGAAAAUCUUAAACUUACAAAUGAUAAAGAAAAUAUGGCAUUAGAUGAUGACACGUUACUAGCAAUAUGUUCGCACUAGAACCACAGGCAAGAAAUCAAGCGUGUCUAAUGCUCUGGUCAAAAAGGUCCAUACACCUUGGACAAUCCUCAUAAAGUUUGAACAAAAGACAUCUCUAAUAUGGACCAGAUCCGGUGCUCAGAUGAAUUUGUGUUGAAUAUUAGAUCAAUAAUCAGUAAUUAUUUAGGACUCAUAUGAAAUAAUUGCUGAUCAUUGAUUCAGUGCCCAGCACGAGCUGAGCACAGGAUCAAUGAUCAACAAUUGUUUGGGACUCACAUAAAAUAAUUGAUGAUCAUUGAUUCAAUGCCUAACACAAACUCAGCUCAACACAAGCUCAGCUGAGCAUCAGAUCCAUUUUCCUCUAAUAUUUACCACACUCUGACACAAAUUGCCGUACCCCAACCGCAAAUGAAACAAACAUGUUAAGAUGACCCAACAUAAUACUAAACUGAGCAGAACUGCAAUGGAAUAAUACCUCGAAGUCUACCAUUUCCACCAGAUUUUUCAAUCGCGACGGCGCAAUGAAAUUGUCAUGGCCUUUUGGGUGCCGAAGUCUCCACAAUAUUAAAUCUACUAUAAGCUGUAGUUGCUGAUUUGCAUUUUUUUUUAAAAAAAAAAAGGGAAGGAAAAAAAGUGAUAUUACAAGAAAAAAAUUCAAAUAACUUUUUAAGAAAGCAUAUUGUCUGUACAAAAGAAUAGAGCUGAAAGAGAGCUGUUAAUUACCAACCUGACUUGACAAACGAGUAAAUGCAGGACGACAGGCAUUAAGCAAGCAGAAAAGUUUUGUUGAUAUUUCAGGUCGUCCUCAAAAGUUUUGGUCAUAAUCUUCAAAGAAACAAAAAAAAUAUAUCAGUUGAACAACUUUGAAAGUAAUACAAUAGCGUUUGGAAGAAACAACAAAUAUCAGCUUAGACUUAUGUAAAGCCCUUGGAUUAGCUUAGACUUAUGCAAAGAAGCAGUGAUACCCUCACCUCCAGGUUGCAUGCAUCAAAUGAUUCAAAACUUCCAGAACUUCAAUUCACAUUACACAUUGAUGCAUUAAAAUUAAAUCACAUACAUGCGCCAAAUGAUUCAGAACUUCAAAACUUCACAACAUUUAAAAGUGCAGCAGAACUUCACAUCACACCACUCGUUAACGCGUUAAAAUUUAAUCACAUGAAGAAAUAAGAAGCUGAUAACAGUAGUUUGCAUUAUCCUUGCAUGCAUCAAAAGAUCCAGACCUUCAAAAACUUCACAAUAUUUAAAAGUGCAGCAGAACUUCACACCACACCACUCAUUACAUCAUUUAAAAUAGCAGCAAAAACUUCACAUCACACUACUUAUUAAUGAAUCAAAAUUAAAUCACAUGAGGAAAUAAGAAUAUGAUAACAGUACUUGUGCAUAAUUCUAGUAAAAAGAGAGGAUUUCUGAUGCUCCAGCAUUACGCUCUGCAUUAUCAUUCAGGACAAGAUCCAUCACAGGCGCUACGAACUCUUUAACCACAUAAUCAAUGCCAGCAAAGGUGCUGGUCACUUAGUUGUAUAGCAUUGAAAUGGGGAAACCAUUGCAGAACAAGCUGAUAUAUGAGUUCUUUAGUGUAAGCUCACAGGGAGAGAAAACUUCAAGUAAGUCAUAGAACUAAGGACAGCUUAAAAUGAUCAAUUCAGUACGGCCAACAACAAACUUCAAAUAGUUGCGGUGGAAGCCAAAGAACAAAAAAGAGAAAAAAGUAUAUUAUUAUGCUCUAGCACAAGUUAUCCAAUUAAGUUUAGGAAAUAACAGGGAAUUAAUUAAUUCUUCAAAUUCGUAACAGGUGUCACGUGUAAAUGUCAAAUUCAUAAAUUCAUGAUAUUUCUCUUUCGAUAAGUAUCAUAUCCAGGAUCAAGAUAUUGGAUCUUGUGUAAUGCAAUUUGUGUUAACACACAUGAUAUGAUUCUAUCACUCUCAUUCCAACAAAUUAAAUGAGGGUCGUGGGCAGGGCAGUGACUUUCUAGGCCUGUUCGUGAUGUAUAGUGCCUGACCUAUUUUUUUGUAUUGCAUUAAGAUAUACUAAGUUGUAUUGUAAUAUUUUGUUUGAUGAAAUAUGUAAUGUAGUAUAUGUAAUAAUAUUUUAUCAGUACCGAUAUUCUCACACCAAUUAACACCACAGUUAGCACAAAACGAUUCAUUUUCUGCCAACUAUAAAAGAUUUAAUUGUAGCUUCAAAACACACACUCAUCUUGCUCAAACGCAGACCACACACACAUGCUCGAUUUACUGAAACGCAAACGCAAACUACACACACACUUAUCUUACUGGACCACAGCACUCUCUCUCGCCGUGGGUCUCUCCACAUUUAGCUUGGUUGUCAGUUGUUUCUCUCUCCAGGAUUGCAUUCUCACGGCACUUCUGGAAUUUGACACCUAGCUGCAGCUUCACUCUCUCGGCUGUCGGAAUUGAUUUGUGGAGGUAAUUUACGCAAACGCAAACCACACACACACUCAUCUCAGUGGACCACAACACUCUCUCUCGCUGUGGGUCUCUCCACAUUUGGCUUGGCUGUCAGUUGUUUCUCUCUCCACCCCGUGGAUUGCAUUCUCACGACACUACUGGAAUUUGACACCUAGCUACAGCUUCACUCUCUCGGUAUGAAUUUAUGUUAAUUUUGCUGUCUUCAGAACUGCCUGUUGUGGUCAAGUACAAGAUUGCGGAGAUAGGGUUAUAUUAGAUUCUACUUGACACCAAGAUAGAAGAAGAUGAAGAUGAGACCAAGCCUCUAGCUUAAGUGUCAUUUGGUACAUAUGCUAUGGCAUUUUGUUGAAUCGAGUUACUCCUACAUUUUAAGUUUGCUUUUAGAAUAUUUCUCAUAAAUUUUCAUGUUGAAAAACCAAUCAUUUGUAGUUCAGUAGAUUGAUAAGAAUUCGUUUCUUGUGCUUGGUUUUUUAUCCUACUGUUGUACAUGUAAUUGAUUCAUUUGUAAUCUUUGUUGCUUUCAAAGGCAGGCUUCAAUUGAGUUGAAACUUUCAAAAAUUUAUAAAAAAUGAACCGCAAAUAAAAGAUAGCAUCAUAUUGGGUGACAAAAUGUUCUCGUGGAUGAUCCUGAUUAAUGUUGUAUAUUUCGCAAUGUAAUUACUUGCUGAUCAAUUUAAUUGAAUUGAUUAACACAUUGGUUUGAGUUUUGAUACUGUUGCUCUGUUUUUGGGUUAAUUGAAGAUCGCAUUUUUGCAGGAACUGGUAAAUUGGACAUGUUAACAAAAAAACCCUCACGUAUUACUGAAAUAAUAAUUGUUAUACUUCAGCCUUUAUGGAUAGUACACAAUGGUUGCAAGCAAAUCAAUUCAUAACUUGUAAAUAAAUAAAUCCCAAAAAAUUGGGCAUUAAUUUCCAUUUUCCAGUUUUAACAAUUUCUAGCAGCAAGUUUUAACAGUAGAUAACUUCCAACAACAACUCAUCCUAAAAUUAGCAACUCAUAACUCACAACACAAUAGCAUUUUGCUAAUUUCCAAUAGCAAGUUCUUACAGCAAUGAUCAACAAAAUUUGACUUCACAAUUGAAUCUUCACACAUUCGGAAUUAUUACAACCAAAUUUGGGCAUUAAUUAAACCAAUUACCUCCACGAAUUGAUUACGACGGGCUACAACUAUCGACGGGGCAGACAGAGAAAGAGAAACCCAACGAGAUGCAUGAGAGAGACCCACGACAAGAGAAAGCCGAAGGAGAGAGCAGCGAGAUGCGCGAGAGGCCGGAUGGGAGAGACCCACGGCGAGAGAGAGAGCCACGGCCGAAGAGAGACCCACGACGAGAGAGAGAAAGAGAGAAAACCGAAGGAGAGAGUAGUGAGAUGCGUGAGACGCCAGAUGUGGAGAGACCCACGGCAAGAGAGAGAGAGAGAGCACCGGCGGACAGUGCACAAAGAGAGAUCUUACGAACAAAGCAAUCCCACGAUCCAUUUUGUGAGGCGAGUGUGUGUGUGAGGCAAGUGAGUUAGUUUUGAAGCCACAGUAUUUUCUUUUAUAGUUAGCACAAAAUGAACCGUUUUGUGCUAACUGUGAUGCUAGGCGUGGUGUAUUUUUCAUUUUUCAUAUUUUGUACCUUUAUUUAUACUACUAUUAAUUUUAAAUUAAAAUUAUUUAGAUUUAUUUAUUCAUAUUCAAAUAUUUAUUAUUAGUUAUAUUAACUAUAAUAUAAUUAAAUAAUACAUUAUUUAGUUAUAUUUUAAGCUCUGGGAUCAGAAGUUUUCCUUGUCGAAACCAGGUUGAUUAGUCUUUCCUUUAAAUCUUCUCAUUUGUAUGCUAAAUACACAAAGCAACUCGGAUCUGUGUUUGAAUCAACGUAGGUAUUUGUGUGUGUCUGGUUCUUUGAAUCUUCUCAUUCUGUUAAUUAAAUUAGCCAAAGCGAGACUAGUGUUUGGAUUUAAAUCACCAUUAUAUAUGGAUUUGCGUGUGUUUGGACGAUUGGAUCCAUGUGAUAAACCCAUUGAAUAUAAUUAAACCAUGCAUGUAAGGAAGCAUAUCAAUGAAAAAUACAGAAUGAAGAACAAAGAAGAAUGCACAGAGCAUAUCCAAGUAUCCACAGCUUGUAAUGAUGUGUGAUCAAAUAUCAAACAUUCUCCAUUAUUGCUAUCUUUAUGUUGAAGGGUUUCUAUAAUUCUAGCUAUUUCCAAAAGUUGUACUGCCGGUUCAGCUUUCUCCACACAUGUCAAAUGUUACAUCAUAUAGAAUGGCUCACAUCCAAAGAAUCAAGUUAAGCAAAGUUUCACAAAAGAUAUGCCAAACUGACCAAUGCAAACAUCAAGUAGCCUUCUCUCAGAUAACUUAACUCAAUGCAAAAAAUCAUGUUUGGAUCAUAAGCUACGUUAAUCAUUCGGCAGCAUUCCAACCCAUUCCACUAAGUAACCCAUCCAAAUUUUCUUUCCAAUAAAUGAACAAAGCAUCACACAAACAUCCAACCCACUUAAAUUCGAGUUAAGAAUAAAACCUUCAUCCAAAGUCAUUAUCAUCAACAGUACUAGAAGAAUGAUCUUUGCUCUGUGCUCUUCCUUUACUCCUCCUCCCACUCCCUCCUCCUUUAAAAAAUGGGAAAUGGGUUUUUUUUUUUUAAUUUUUUUAAAAUAUUUUGUAAUUGUAGUGGGAAGUAAUUAUGAGAGUGAUCAAUUGAGUAUUGAUGAUUUUUAAUCUUUUUUUGUAUCCACUUUCUCAACAUUUUAUGUAAUGUGGAGAAUAAACAAUUAUAUCGCAUGUUAUUACUUUUAACUUUUUAAGGAUUGGAAUGAAUGGUGACAAAGCAACGUUGGUCUACUUUUUUUUUUUAAUUGGUUUUUUGUUAAUAUACAUUCUCCUUUGGGAACAAGAUUCAUUCACCUAUUAAUACGAAACAAAUAAUCUAAGAUAUAAUUAUUAUGCCCUUUGAUAAUUACAAGAAUUCUAACAGUUACCACUAAGAUCUGAGAUUUUCUUCUGUCUGUUUCUGUUGGCAAACACUUUUCAACUUUGCUAUUAUUUGCCCUCUACUCCACUAUCUUCAGUAAAAUAAUCUUGCUAAAUGCAACAAGCACUUAUUUACUUCUUUUUGGUAGUACUUCGAGAAAAUUUAAAACAGCACUAAUGAUUAAUAAUAUACCGACCCCUCGUUCAUUUAACAAUCCCUUAGUAUUUCAAUGGGCUCAAUGCUCAAGGGAACUGCUGAAACAACAAUAUCAGAGCUCUAAAACUUUCUUGUUUCAUUUAUCAAAUUCUUCAAUAAGUUUCUCCAGUUACAAGUUAUAUUUUUCGAGUUCCUCAGCAAUAAAAAUGAUAUUGCACUAAGCGAAAAAUUGAAUAAAACUUUAUAGAGUAUCAUAGCAAAAAUACUUCAAUUUUGCAACGUUGCCAUCACCAUGAAUUAAAUUAGAGAUGACAAUGGGCACGAGUUCGGGGUAGACACUGUGAUCCCACGCUCCGGGAACCCUGCUCCAAAUCCCGAUUGUCUCAACUUCAUCAUAUGGGCCAACGCAUUUUUUUUCCCACGUUAAGAUCCAUUUAAAAAAUAAAUA